CAAAACUCCUGUUUCAACGGUGUUGUCUGAGCUACAAGCAACGAAUCAAAACUUUCAACAACGGAUCUCUUGGUUCUGGCAUCGAUGAAGAACGCAGCGAAAUGCGAUAAGUAGUGUGAAUUGCAGAAUUCAGUGAAUCAUCGAAUCUUUGAACGCACAUUGCGCCCCUUGGUAUCCCGAGGGGCAUGCCUGUUCGAGCGUCAUUUCACCACUCAAGCCUGGCUUGGUGUUGGGUGACGUCCCCUUUGAGGACGCGCCUCGAAACGCUCGGCGGCGUGGCACCGGCUUUAAGCGUAGCAUAUUCUUUCGCUUCGAAAGUCGGGGCCCCGUCUGCCGGAAGACCUACACGCAAGGUUGACCUCGGAUCAGGCAGGGAUACCCGCUGAACUUAAACAUAUCA
rnacentral:rRNA from 1 species